GAUGAACGCUAGCUACAGGCUUAACACAUGCAAGUCGAGGGGCAGCAUGGUCUUAGCUUGCUAAGGCUGAUGGCGACCGGCGCACGGGUGAGUAACACGUAUCCAACCUGCCGUCUACUCUUGGCCAGCCUUCUGAAAGGAAGAUUAAUCCAGGAUGGGAUCAUGAGUUCACAUGUCCGCAUGAUUAAAGGUAUUUUCCGGUAGACGAUGGGGAUGCGUUCCAUUAGAUAGUAGGCGGGGUAACGGCCCACCUAGUCAACGAUGGAUAGGGGUUCUGAGAGGAAGGUCCCCCACAUUGGAACUGAGACACGGUCCAAACUCCUACGGGAGGCAGCAGUGAGGAAUAUUGGUCAAUGGGCGAUGGCCUGAACCAGCCAAGUAGCGUGAAGGAUGACUGCCCUAUGGGUUGUAAACUUCUUUUAUAAAGGAAUAAAGUCGGGUAUGCAUACCCGUUUGCAUGUACUUUAUGAAUAAGGAUCGGCUAACUCCGUGCCAGCAGCCGCGGUAAUACGGAGGAUCCGAGCGUUAUCCGGAUUUAUUGGGUUUAAAGGGAGCGUAGAUGGAUGUUUAAGUCAGUUGUGAAAGUUUGCGGCUCAACCGUAAAAUUGCAGUUGAUACUGGAUGUCUUGAGUGCAGUUGAGGCAGGCGGAAUUCGUGGUGUAGCGGUGAAAUGCUUAGAUAUCACGAAGAACUCCGAUUGCGAAGGCAGCCUGCUAAGCUGCAACUGACAUUGAGGC
rnacentral:rRNA from 1 species